UACCAUAGAAGAUCUGAUAUUUUACACACCUACCAAAUAUAUCUGUUCAAUACCUAGCACAAAAUGUAAUGCUGUUAUAUCGAAUGCUGCAUUCAGCUUCUUCAGAGCACUUUUGACAUCUAGUACUGGGCUGGAUUCCACCAGUUUUAUUUCUUCUGUUCUGUACAUAAAGAGUACUAAAGGAGAGUUAUCACUGACAAUAAAUGUUUAUCCUUUUAAAACGUGUUCAUAGUACAGUGAUACAAGCUUCAGUUUUGAGAAAUGUAUCAUGUAUCUGUGAGUUCUUUUCAGUGCAUUUCAAAUCAACACGACUAGUUCUGAACUGGUUUCCCAUUGCCCCUUUAAAGCACAUUUGGAUAUUUUUUCCAUUAGGUAAGUGUGAACUCCAGUGCCCUUAUCACAGUCUAGCUGAAAUCUGAGUGCCUUUAAAACUGAAGCUAUUUGUGUCAAAGUACUGUGUCAAAACUGAAGUUGGCUAUGCUGUUCUCUCCCAGUCCUUGUAAGACUUAACACUUGCAGAAUCCUGCCCACUGUGUAUUCAUUUCAUAUAAUAUAUUUUAUAAACUUUUCUGUUUCAGAAUGGAAUAUUCUUUAAUCUAUGCAGUACUUUUAAGCACUCAGAAAAUAUAUAGAAUUUUAACCUUUUUUUUCAAUCCUGUCAUUAUUGGUUAGUGAGCUCCCUAAACUUGCCUUAAACUUAUAGAAACAUUAUUGAAAAGCAGGGAUUACACUAUGAUUAUUACAUUUCGUUAUUACACUCCCAGGAAAAGUCCUCUUCUGCCAAAUUACAUUGUUUAAAGUACAACCGUGACCUGCUUCGCAAUGACAGUAGCAGCUGUUUUGGUAGCUAGCAACAGCAAUGCUUAGCAGACACAUUCCCUCUGUGUAAGAUUGCUAGUUUUGCACAGAUGAUUUAUUCCUACCCCAGGAAAAGCAAACACACUUCAUGGAGAAAAAGUAGGUCUGUGCUGUCGAUAAGUUAAUUAUAUAAAAGGGUCAUAAUACAUCUACUAUUUUAUUUUUUCCAUUUUGUACUGCUGUCUUGCAGCUCUUAUUAUACCAAACGUUAUUUGCAUUAAUGACAAAUUGACCGCAUGACUCCUUCCAAGCUUUUGUUUUGACUAUUAUUGGUACCUUCUGGUUUUAAAGCACAUUUGUGUAGAUACCAGUAGCUUUUUCAUUUUAUUUUAAAUUGACUUUUUGUUAUUUUUUUAGUAGAAUUUAAACCUUCAUAUUUGUAUUUGUUUUGCAUGGGUUUAAAUACACACCAUCAUGACAUCAGUCAAUGUGGUCUGUUUCUUUUUCUUUAAAUUAAUAUGGCCUCAAUGUUUCUUUAGAGUGAGGCAAAAAGUAUUUGGCUGUCCCACCUAAAAAGAUUAGAGAGGUUUGUUGUUUUCGUAGGUAUGCAGAAUGUAAAUCAUAUUGCAUGGUUUUAAAAUAAUUUAUUUGUAAAGGUUGCAGAAAAUUAGUAUUUAGCACCUACAACCAAGCAAGAAUUUCGUCCCUCACAGACCUUCUUUAAGAAGCACUUUUAUGUAUUAAUGGCACCUGUUUGAACUUGUUAUCUGUAUAAAUGACACCUGUCCACACCUUCAAACAGUCAGACUCCACCAUGGCCAAGACCAGCAGGCUGGUCAUGGGGAGUACCACCUGGCUGUAGUUGGAGAUGAACUGCCAAUAAAAGUUUGCAAAGAUGAGAAAAAGCUGUAGUU
ensembl:lncRNA